CUUGCCUGAUAGGUCUCAGAUUUUGGAAAUGCAAUGUUUGAUGAUACUACUUAAGCCUCUACAGGAUUAAAUUUACAGAUCUUACCACCCAGAGGUGUUUAAGACUUGGUUCUGGUGUGUUUCAGAAAGCUUCACAUGUGAGAUAAAUGCACUCAAAGACUCCUCACAAGUAGCUCUUUGGAGCUUCAGAUGUGAAAUGGAUCAUUCCUCAAUCUGUAAUAGACCCUUCUGUGAAGCUCUUCAAUCAAACCUGAGAAUUCAAGGCAUUUUGUAGCAUCCUAAACAGAAGGAUAUUGAAGGGAGCUGAUUCUGCUUUGAUCCUUGUGCUUGUUGUCAAAGCGCUUGGGAUUGAAGAGACUGUUGGCUACAAUUGACUGUGACAAUUAGGAGAUGAUCAGAGCCCUAGAGUGGAGCACUUAAAGGGUUUGCAUUUAAAACACUCUUGGAGCACUAAUUGUAUAAAAUUCUGGUAACUGCACAUUCUCUUUUUAGAGAGGUAAUGAGCGAAUGAAUGAAAAGGCAGGGAUUAUUUGCCAUUCUAAGAGCUGGGAUUGUCAGAACAUUUCUACUUGACUGAAAUUGUUUUGGAAGGUGAGCUGGAACAAGAAUCUUGCAACUAAAAUGAAGUGACUCUGCAUGUGGUUUUGGGAUGUUUCUGUUCAUCAAAGAACUCUACAGAACUGCUCUGGGACUUAGAAGUUGAUUUAGAUUUUAUUUAUGAAAGAAUAUUUAGGUGAAUCCUAUGAAAACAUUUUAAAGUACGCAUAUUUGACUCUUAACAAGUAAGUGGGAGUCUUUUGAAGGCUCAUUUGGAAUUAUUUGAAAAGAGUUUUCCUAUUACUAUCACAGUGUUUUUUCAAUAUACAAAUUGCCCUGUUGUGACAAAAUAAAUUAUUGAAAUGCUUUGAAAAGUUUUUAGAAAUGUGCCCAAGGAAACAAUAUGUAAAGUGUUAAAGUUAAUUCACAUGUCAAUUUAUUGAAAUGUUGCUGCUACUGAAAAGUCCAAGAACCUUUAGCACAACAUUGCAGAACAUUUACAGUCUUGUUUUAAUGAGCAGCUCUUUCUUUGUAUGUGUUUGGAGGUGGCAAUAGAGUUGCUAGAUAUAGCAAAUAAAAAUAAAGAAUUCCCAGUAAAUUUGAA